rnacentral:rRNA from 1 species
UACAGAGGUCCCAAGCGUUGUUCGGAUUCACUGGGCGUAAAGGGUGCGUAGGUGGUGAGGUAAGUUUGAUGUGAAAUCUCGGGGCUUAACUCCGAAACUGCAUUCGAUACUGCGGUGCUUGAGGACUGGAGAGGAGACUGGAAUUCAUGGUGUAGCAGUGAAAUGCGUAGAUAUCGGGAGGAACACCAGUGGCGAAGGCGGCGAUCUGGGAAGAUACUGACGCUGAGGUGCGAAAGCGUGGGGAGCAAACAGG